UUGAUAGGCCCAUUAGCCCACUAGUUUACUCGAUCUUCACUGAUAUGGACACGACUGACUGUUGUUGUGUAUAUGUGUUCCUUAUACAGACAACAAAGCGCAGAGGUGUUACUGCGGGCAUCGAUAUAGUUUCAUAGUUAUAGUUGGUCGUGUGAACGCAGGUCACUCAGACGUUAAUUUACUGUCGUUUGUAAGGCACAAGUGGAUCUAGGUUAAAGGGGCUGGUGGGAUUUUCCAUGACGGACUACAGAUGCGAAGUUGCAGGGUAACACCGGAUUUGCAGCCGCUUCGUUAAACAGCAAGGUGUUUGAUGAUGAUGACGAUGCUUCAUGCUUGAUUUAACUCAUCGACGCAUCAACUCCCUGCACGUACAGGGCCCCUAACCCCCGGUGCGACAGGCAUGUGCCCCGCCUCCGCGGACUGUCCGAGCCGGCGGACGCGCUGGAUCAGACAGCAGAGACUCACUGCUCUUCCCAUUUCAUUCAGCUGAACAUGCUGCAAAACAAUUAAAACAUUACCCGUAAUCUACCACAGUAACCGUAGACGAUUCCCUUUUGGGAAACGUACGUAACGUACUCGUCCGGGGUACGUAACCGAACAAGGAAAAAGCUGAGUUAUGAAUAGGAUUUAUAAUUGCUCUCCAUAAGACACUUUUAUACCAAUUAAAACUGAUUCUGCUGACUUUAAUUUUUACUCCCAGGCCGAGGUGGGAUGGCGA